rnacentral:rRNA from 1 species
CCUACGGGAGGCAGCAGUGGGGAAUAUUGCACAAUGGGGGAAACCCUGAUGCAGCGACGCCGCGUGAGCGAUGAAGUAUUUCGGUAUGUAAAGCUCUAUCAGCAGGGAAGAAAAUGACGGUACCUGACUAAGAAGCCCCGGCUAACUACGUGCCAGCAGCCGCGGGAAGACGUAGGGGGCAAGCGUUAUCCGGAUUUACUGGGUGGAAAGGGAGCGGAGACGGGCCUGCAAGCCAGAUGUGAAAGCCCGGGGCUCAACCCCGGGACUGCAUUUGGAACUGUAAGGCUAGAGUGUCGGAGAGGCAGGCGGAAUUCCUAGUGUAGCGGUGAAAUGCGUAGAUAUUAGGAGGAACACCAGUGGCGAAGGCGGCCUGCUGGACGAUGACUGACGUUGAGGCUCGAAAGCGUGGGGAGCAAACAGGAUUAGAUACCCUUGUAGUC